rnacentral:snRNA from 1 species
AUAAUUAACUGGCAGGGGGAAAUGCCAUGAUCACAGAGGUGGUUUUUCCUAUGUGACAUUUAACCAUUACACUUUGGGAUUUCCCCAAAGGCAGGAAACUCCACCCAUAAUUUGUGGUGAUGGAGGAGUGCAUUUAUGACCUCCUCUG